rnacentral:rRNA from 1 species
CCUACGGGUGGCAGCAGUAGGGAAUUUUCGGCAAUGGGGGGAACCCUGACCGAGCAACGCCGCGUGAACGAAGAAGUUAUUCGUAAUGUAAAGCUCUUUUAACAGGGAAGAAAGAGAAAUUUGACGGUCCCUGAUGAAUAAGCCCCGGCUAACUACGUGCCAGCAGCCGCGGUAAUACGUAGGGAGCGAGCGUUAUCCGGAAUUAUUGGGCGUAAAGGGUGCGUAGAUGGCAUAGUAAGUCUGUUGUAAAAAUGCUGGGCUCAACCCAGUAGGGCAAAAGAGACUGCAAAGCUAGAGUAUGACAGAGGCAAGUGGAACUACAGGUGUAGCGGUGAAAUGCGUAGAUAUAUGGAAGAACACCAGUGGCGAAGGCGGCUUGCUGGGUCGAGACUGACGUUGAGGCACGAAAGCGUGGGGAGCAAACAGGAUUAGAUACCCGGGUAGUC